CCAUUAUAUUCCCCACAGGAUCCAGCUCCCGAGGUUCAGGGAAGUAGGCAGGGCGUGUAGAUUCCACAUCUCUGAGCAAAUUGCAAAUCAUAUAUGCCUGAAGACUCAUGGCUUUCAGCCUUUGGCCUGAGGACUUUACCUUAUCCAUGGACAAGUUUUCAGUUCAUUGGAAUGAGCACUCAUUUUGGAAUGUAGUAACAACUUGAACUGAAGCAGCGGAUCAGCAGGCUAAAAUGGAUAC
rnacentral:lncRNA from 1 species